GUGGUUAAGCUACGAAGGGCGCACGGUGGAUGCCUUGGCGCCAGGAGCCGAUGAAGGACGUGGCAAACGACGAAACGCUUCGGGGAGCUGUAAGCAAGCGUUGAUCCGGAGAUGUCCGAAUGGGGAAACCCACUUCCCGUAAUGGGGAAGGACUCCUGCCUGAAUCCAUAGGGCAGCGAGAGGCACACCAGGGGAACUGAAACAUCUAAGUACCCUGAGGAAGAGAAAGCAAAUGCGAUUCCCUUAGUAGUGGC
rnacentral:rRNA from 1 species